UGGGGACCGCGAUCUCCCCACGAGGCGCAAGCUGAAGCAUCGC
rnacentral:ncRNA from 1 species